CCAUGCUGUAAACGGUGGGCGCUAGGUGUAGGGGGCUUCCACGUCUUCUGUGCCGUAGCUAACGCAUUAAGCGCCCCGCCUGGGGAGUACGGCCGCAAGGCUAAAACUCAAAGGAAUUGACGGGGACCCGCACAAGCAGCGGAGCAUGUGGUUUAAUUCGAUGCAACGCGAAGAACCUUACCAGGGCUUGACAUAUGGGUGAAAGACGUAGAGAUACGUCCCCUCUUCGGAGCAGCCAUACAGGUGGUGCAUGGUUGU
rnacentral:rRNA from 1 species